CCUACGGGAGGCUGCAGUGGGGAAUAUUGGGCAAUGGGCGCAAGCCUGACCCAGCAACGCCGCGUGAAGGAAGAAGGCUCUCGGGUUGUAAACUUCUUUUCUCAGGGACGAAGCAAGUGACGGUACCUGAGGAAUAAGCCACGGCUAACUACGUGCCAGCAGCCGCGGUAAUACGGAGGUGGCAAGCGUUAUCCGGAUUUACUGGGUGUAAAGGGCGUGUAGGCGGGAAAGCAAGUCAGAUGUGAAAACCAUGGGCUCAACCUGUGGCCUGCAUUUGAAACUGGUUUUCUUGAGUACUGGAGAGGCAGACGGAAUUCCUAGUGUAGCGGUGAAAUGCGUAGAUAUUAGGAGGAACACCAGUGGCGAAGGCAGUCUGCUGGACAGCAACUGACGCUGAGGCGCGAAAGCGUGGGGAGCAAACAGGAUUAGAUACCCCGGUAGUC
rnacentral:rRNA from 1 species